AGAGUUUGAUCAUGGCUCAGAUUGAACGCUGGCGGCAGGCCUAACACAUGCAAGUCGAACGGUAACAGGAAUCAGCUUGCUGAUUCGCUGACGAGUGGCGGACGGGUGAGUAAUGUCUGGGAAACUGCCUGAUGGAGGGGGAUAACUACUGGAAACGGUAGCUAAUACCGCAUAAUGUCGCAAGACCAAAGAGGGGGACCUUCGGGCCUCUUGCCAUCGGAUGUGCCCAGAUGGGAUUAGCUUGUUGGUGGGGUAACGGCUCACCAAGGCGACGAUCCCUAGCUGGUCUGAGAGGAUGACCAGCCACACUGGAACUGAGACACGGUCCAGACUCCUACGGGAGGCAGCAGUGGGGAAUAUUGCACAAUGGGCGCAAGCCUGAUGCAGCCAUGCCGCGUGUAUGAAGAAGGCCUUCGGGUUGUAAAGUACUUUCAGCGGGGAGGAAGGGAGUAAAGUUAAUACCUUUGCUCAUUGACGUUAUCCGCAGAAGAAGCACCGGCUAACUCCGUGCCAGCAGCCGCGGUAAUACGGAGGGUGCAAGCGUUAAUCGGAAUUACUGGGCGUAAAGCGCACGCAGGCGGUUUGUUAAGUCAGAUGUGAAAUCCCCGGGCUCAACCUGGGAACUGCAUCUGAUACUGGCAAGCUUGAGUCUCGUAGAGGGGGGUAGAAUUCCAGGUGUAGCGGUGAAAUGCGUAGAGAUCUGGAGGAAUACCGGUGGCGAAGGCGGCCCCCUGGACGAAGACUGACGCUCAGGUGCGAAAGCGUGGGGAGCAAACAGGAUUAGAUACCCUGGUAGUCCACGCCGUAAACGAUGUCGACUUGGAGGUUGUGCCCUUGAGGCGUGGCUUCCGGAGCUAACGCGUUAAGUCGACCGCCUGGGGAGUACGGCCGCAAGGUUAAAACUCAAAUGAAUUGACGGGGGCCCGCACAAGCGGUGGAGCAUGUGGUUUAAUUCGAUGCAACGCGAAGAACCUUACCUGGUCUUGACAUCCACGGAAGUUUUCAGAGAUGAGAAUGUGCCUUCGGGAACCGUGAGACAGGUGCUGCAUGGCUGUCGUCAGCUCGUGUUGUGAAAUGUUGGGUUAAGUCCCGCAACGAGCGCAACCCUUAUCCUUUGUUGCCAGCGGUCCGGCCGGGAACUCAAAGGAGACUGCCAGUGAUAAACUGGAGGAAGGUGGGGACGACGUCAAGUCAUCAUGGCCCUUACGACCAGGGCUACACACGUGCUACAAUGGCGCAUACAAAGAGAAGCGACCUCGCGAGAGCAAGCGGACCUCAUAAAGUGCGUCGUAGUCCGGAUUGGAGUCUGCAACUCGACUCCAUGAAGUCGGAAUCGCUAGUAAUCGUGGAUCAGAAUGCCACGGUGAAUACGUUCCCGGGCCUUGUACACACCGCCCGUCACACCAUGGGAGUGGGUUGCAAAAGAAGUAGGUAGCUUAACCUUCGGGAGGGCGCUUACCACUUUGUGAUUCAUGACUGGGGUGAAGUCGUAACAAGGUAACCGUAGGGGAACCUGCGGUUG
rnacentral:rRNA from 6 species